UACGUAGGGGGGCUAGCGUUGUCCGGAAUCAUUGGGCGUAAAGAGCUCGUAGGCGGUCUGUCGCGUCGGCUGUGAAACCCGAGGCUCAACCUCGGGCCUGCAGUCGAUACGGGCAAACUAGAGUACUGCAGGGGAGACUGGAAUCCUGGUGUAGCGGUGAAAUGCGUAGAUAUCGUAAGGAAGACCAGUGGCGAAGGCGGGUCUCUGGACAGUUCCUGGACGC
rnacentral:rRNA from 1 species